GCUUGCUUCCUGGUGGCGAGCGGCGGACGGGUGAGUAAUGCAUAGAAAUCUGCCCGGUAGUGGGGGAUAACCUGGGGAAACCCAGGCUAAUACCGCAUACGUCCUACGGGAGAAAGCAGGGGAUCUUCGGACCUUGCGCUAUCGGAUGAGUCUAUGUCGGAUUAGCUUGUUGGUGAGGUAAUGGCUCACCAAGGCGACGAUCCGUAGCUGGUCUGAGAGGAUGAUCAGCCACAUCGGGACUGAGACACGGCCCGAACUCCUACGGGAGGCAGCAGUGGGGAAUAUUGGACAAUGGGCGAAAGCCUGAUCCAGCCAUGCCGCGUGUGUGAAGAAGGCCUUCGGGUUGUAAAGCACUUUCAGUGGGGAAGAAAGCCUUGGGGCUAAUACCCUCGAGGAAGGACAUCACCCACAGAAGAAGCACCGGCUAACUCCGUGCCAGCAGCCGCGGUAAUACGGAGGGUGCGAGCGUUAAUCGGAAUUACUGGGCGUAAAGCGCGCGUAGGCGGUCUGAUAAGCCGGUUGUGAAAGCCCCGGGCUCAACCUGGGAACGGCAUCCGGAACUGUCAGGCUAGAGUGCAGGAGAGGAAGGUAGAAUUCCCGGUGUAGCGGUGAAAUGCGUAGAGAUCGGGAGGAAUACCAGUGGCGAAGGCGGCCUUCUGGACUGACACUGACGCUGAGGUGCGAAAGCGUGGGUAGCAAACAGGAUUAGAUACCCUGGUAGUCCACGCCGUAAACGAUGUCGACUAGCCGUUGGGCUCCUUGAGAGCUUUGUGGCGCAGUUAACGCGAUAAGUCGACCGCCUGGGGAGUACGGCCGCAAGGUUAAAACUCAAAUGAAUUGACGGGGGCCCGCACAAGCGGUGGAGCAUGUGGUUUAAUUCGAUGCAACGCGAAGAACCUUACCUACCCUU
rnacentral:rRNA from 1 species